UUUAUCUCUUGGGGUGUGUGAAAAGGAGUAUGUGUUCUUCAUCAUCUCCAAUUACUAGCAGGCAGCCGCUGAUUUCUGCUAAUCCUUUAGGGAGCUGCUUAAGUAUUUUUCAAGGCCAUUGAUAAAUAUUUUAAACAGCAUAGAGCCAAGACCUGAUCUCUGCCGGACAGCGCUGGAAACAGA